rnacentral:rRNA from 1 species
UACGAAGGGGGCUAGCGUUGUUCGGAAUCACUGGGCGUAAAGGGCGCGUAGGCGGCUUUGUAAGUCGGUGGUGAAAUCCUGGAGCUCAACUCCAGAACUGCCUUCGAUACUGAGAGUCUCGAGUCCGGGAGAGGUGAGUGGAACUGCGAGUGUAGAGGUGAAAUUCGUAGAUAUUCGUCAAGAACACCAGUGGCGAAGGCGGCUCACUGGCCCAUAACUGACGCUGAGGCACGAAAGCGUGGGGAGCAACAGG